GGGCCCGCACAAGCGGUGGAUUAUGUGGAUUAAUUCGAUGCAACGCGAAAAACCUUACCUGGCCUUGACAUGUACCGAAUUUAGCAGAGAUGCUUUAGUGCUCGUAAGAGAACGGUAACACAGGUGCUGCAUGGCUGUCGUCAGCUCGUGUCGUGAGAUGUUGGUUAAGUCCCGCAACGAGCGCAACCCUUGCCAUUAAUUGCCAUCAUUUAGUUGGGCACUUUAAUGGGACUGCCGGUGACAAACCGGAGGAAGGUGGGGAUGACGUCAAGUCCUCAUGGCCCUUAUGGCCAGGGCUUCACACGUGCUACAAUGGGGAAUACAGACGGACGCUAAGCCGCGAGGUGGUGCU
rnacentral:rRNA from 1 species